GGUAUUAAUGGCUUGUCGGAUGG
rnacentral:siRNA from 1 species